rnacentral:lncRNA from 1 species
AAUUAAAGGUACAAAAAGUGUCCAAUUUAUCAAUGCUAGAAUAUCAAAAUAAAGUAGCAAAAAUAAAAGAAAAUAAAAUCAAGACAAAAAUGAAAGAAAUGGAUUAAAAUAAAAUUAUAAUGGCAGAAAUAAAAUGGAAAAAAUGAUAAAAAUGAAAAUAAUAAGAUGAAAAUAAAAUCAAGUAGUAGAAAAUAAAAUCAGAAAUGUGAAAUUAAAAGGAAAUUGAAUUAAAAAAAGGAAAUAAAUCAAUUAAAAAAAAUGAAAAGAAAAUGAGAGAAGG